GAGCCGGGGAGGCUUCGUGAUUGGAGGAGGGAGAACACGGGAGAGCCAAUCCCGUGCCGCGGGCGGGCUGAUUAGGAACCACGUGACGGAGGAACACGCCGGAUGGACGUUAUCGGACUUGUUCAGCUGUCAGGUCUGAUGAUAAUUACGAGAGUGAGCAGGUGCUCUCAUCAUCCUAAUGCACUGGCUGGUAAUGCGAUCCUAUGGGUGGUCGGGUUGUACAGCACCUGCAGACCUACUGUCCUCCCUACGAGCUGCUGAAACCACGAGGCCUCCGUCAGCGUGGCUCCACCUCCUGCUCUCCAGUUCUCCCCAUCAGCCCAAAAACAAAACGCUGCAGAUGCGUCCAGCACGCCUCUCAUCGCCCCCCUCGUGUCCAAGCCCUCUAGAUUUUGUGUAGGUGUGGUCAACCGUCGGGAGUGCAAUGGCAGUGAGGGCCAGAUGUGCCCCUGUUGCAUUAUAGAUGACGGCCUGCGUUGGGUUUCCACAUCGAUGUCCCGAUCUCCGAGAUCUGCUGCAUCCGAGUGGCUGUUUUAAUGUAUUUUUUAUUCGGGAAUGUAUUUUGUUGUUUAGGCAUCUCUUAUUGCAGUCAAAAAGUAAUGUUGGUGUAUUAAAUGUAUACACGCAUUCAUUUUAUUGAUGCUUUUAUAUAAUAAAAAAAAAAGAAUGGCCUUGAGGUGGAGAAAUUAAUAUAUGACCGUUUUUUCCGUCUCAGCAGCUGGAGGCGUUUGUCGGGGGUUUGAUUGACAUUAGCUGGCAAUCUGAGCCCGAGCCGGAGACAAAGUAAACAAACCUCCCUGUGUGUGUGUGUGUGUGUGUGUGUGUGUGUGUGUGUGUGUUACCAACGACAGACAGCGUGUGCUGGUAGCAAUGCUGGGGCAGGUGUUCGGGUGCGGCAGAGGUUAACGCAUCCUUCUUCCAUCUCCUCUGAGACGUGUGUCCACAUCUCUGUUUUCUACCAUUAAGAAGUCAUUAUGACGGUGUAUUAAUCAUUAUAACGACGCAUUAAAGCAAUCGUGAUAUUACUAUCACAGCUGCUCGUGAGCGAGAGGCGGCUGGGAUACGAUGGCUGAUUUGAAUACAGAUGAGAACGAGAGAGGAGGAAUUCUCGAAGCUUCUCGCUGUGUGAAACUCGGAAAUGCAAAUCGGAUUCUCCAAUCAUGGCGGGAUUACCAGCGGGAAGCACCACCACCACCACACGGAUUCCUUUCCUCCACAUAGUCUGCUCCAUGCUCUGGACAUAUUGGCUUCGAGUCACGUCUGUUCCAAAAAUAUUUUAUUUGCACCACACUGCUGCAUUGUCAUAACUCAGAUAUUGAUUUUCUUUGAAUGUUUAAUAUUUAAUAUGAAUGCCACUUGGGCUGUUUCCCUCCCGCGCGCUGUUUUUAAGACUGUGUUGCUGACAGGUGAUUUAAUGCAUUUCUCGUGCACACUUAUUUGAGAAACAAUUGCAUUCUGCAGUCACAGGAUUUGAUGGGAAGUAAAUAGGACAGUUAAGACUUUGCUCCAUGUUUUCUGUCUAGCUGACUCCACCCGGCUUCCCCGAUUUUAACACUGACGUCAUUGUUCUUUAAAAUAAAGCUCGUAAACAACGA